rnacentral:rRNA from 1 species
CCUACGGGAGGCAGCAGUGGGGAAUUUUGGACAAUGGGCGCAAGCCUGAUCCAGCAAUGCCGCGUGAGUGAAGAAGGCCUUCGGGUUGUAAAGCUCUUUUGUCAGGGAAGAAACGGUGGGGGCUAAUAUCCUCCACUAAUGACGGUACCUGAAGAAUAAGCACCGGCUAACUACGUGCCAGCAGCCGCGGUAAUACGUAGGGUGCAAGCGUUAAUCGGAAUUACUGGGCGUAAAGCGUGCGCAGGCGGUUUUGUAAGUCUGUCGUGAAAGCCCCGGGCUCAACCUGGGAAUUGCGAUGGAGACUGCAAGGCUUGAAUCUGGCAGAGGGGGGUAGAAUUCCACGUGUAGCAGUGAAAUGCGUAGAGAUGUGGAGGAACACCGAUGGCGAAGGCAGCCCCCUGGGUCAAGAUUGACGCUCAUGCACGAAAGCGUGGGGAGCAAACAGGAUUAGAUACCCUGGUAGUCCACGCCCUAAACGAUGUCUACUAGUUGUCGGGUUUUAAUUAACUUGGUAACGCAGCUAACGCGUGAAGUAGACCGCCUGGGGAUACGGUCGCAAGNUUAAAACUUAAAGAUAGUACGGCGNGAGAGAGCGACGACGACGACGACGGAGGAGGAG